UACGAAGGGGGCUAGCGUUGCUCGGAAUCACUGGGCGUAAAGCGCACGUAGGCGGCUUCUCAAGUCAGGGGUGAAAUCCUGGAGCUCAACUCCAGAACUGCCUUUGAUACUGGCGAUCUCGAGUCCGGGAGAGGUGAGUGGAACUGCGAGUGUAGAGGUGAAAUUCGUAGAUAUUUGCAAGAACACCAGUGGCGAAGGCGGCUCACUGGCCCGGUACUGACGCUGAGGUGCGAAAGCGUGGGGAGCGAACAGG
rnacentral:rRNA from 1 species